GCGGCGAAAGGGUGAGUAAUGCUUCGUUAAUGUACCCAUGGGACCGGGAUAAUUCCUGGAAACGGGUUGUAAUACCGGAUGAGACCCCAGGCACCACGGUGCCGGUGGUCAAAGGCAUGUUGCUUUCGGGCGCAUGCGCCGAUGGAGCGGACGAAGUCUGAUUAGCUUGUUGGUGGGGUAAUGGCCUACCAAGGCGAUGAUCAGUAGCGGGCCUGAGAGGGUGGCCCGCCACACUGGGACUGAGACACUGCCCAGACUCCUACGGGAGGCUGCAGUCGCGAAUCAUUCACAAUGGACGGAAGUCUGAUGAUGCCACGCCGCGUGCGGGAAGAAGGCCUUCGGGUUGUAAACCGCUGUCGAGAGGGGGGAAGUACUGACUGCCCUCUGGAGGAAGCCCCGGCUAAACACGUGCCAGCAGCCGCGGUAAUACGUGUGGGGCAAGCGUUGUUCGGAAUCACUGGGCUUAAAGGGUGCGUAGGCGGCCUGCCAAGUCAGGGGUGAAAUCCCGCGGGCCAACCGUGGAAUUGCCUUUGAUACUGGUUGGCUUGAGUGUGCCAGGGGUGAGCGGAACGUGUGGUGUAGCGGUGAAAUGCGUAGAUAUCA
rnacentral:rRNA from 1 species